rnacentral:rRNA from 1 species
GAGAUUGCACUGGGUGUAAAGCGUGCGCAGGCGGUUUUGUAAGACAGAGGUGAAAUCCCCGGGCUCAACCUGGGAACUGCCUUUGUGACUGCAAGGCUGGAGUGCGGCAGAGGGGGAUGGAAUUCCGCGUGUAGCAGUGAAAUGCGUAGAUAUGCGGAGGAACACCGAUGGCGAAGGCAAUCCCCUGGGCCUGCACUGACGCUCAUGCACGAAAGCGUGGGGAGCAAACA